UACGUAGGGGGCGAGCGUUGUCCGGAUUUAUUGGGCGUAAAGAGCUCGUAGGCGGUUUGGUAAGUUGGAUGUGAAGUCUCCAGGCUCAACUUGGAGGGGUCAUUCGAUACUGCCAUGACUAGAGUUCGGUAGGGGAGUGUGGAAUUCCUGGUGGAGCGGUGAAAUGCGCAGAUAUCAGGAGGAACACCCGUAGCGAAGGCGGCACUCUGGGCCGGAACUGACGCUGAGGAGCGAAAGCGUGGGGAGCGAACAGG
rnacentral:rRNA from 1 species